rnacentral:rRNA from 1 species
UGUGAGCUCGAUGAGUAGGGCGGGACACGUGGUAUCCUGUCUGAAUAUGGGGGGACCAUCCUCCAAGGCUAAAUACUCCUGACUGACCGAUAGUGAACCAGUACCGUGAGGGAAAGGCGAAAAGAACCCCGGCGAGGGGAGUGAAAAAGAACCUGAAACCGUGUACGUACAAGCAGUGGGAGCCUCUUAAUGGGGUGACUGCGUACCUUUUGUAUAAUGGGUCAGCGACUUAUAUUCUGUAGCAAGGUUAACCGAAUAGGGGAGCCGAAGGGAAACCGAGUCUUAACUGGGCGUUAAGUUGCAGGGUAUAGACCCGAAACCCGGUGAUCUAGCCAUGGGCAGGUUGAAGGUUGGGUAACACUAACUGGAGGACCGAACCGACUAAUGUUGAAAAAUUAGCGGAUGACUUGUGGCUGGGGGUGAAAGGCCAAUCAAACCGGGAGAUAGCUGGUUCUCCCCGAAAGCUAUUUAGGUAGCGCCUCGUGAAUUCAUCUCCGGGGGUAGAGCACUGUUUCGGCAAGGGGGUCAUCCCGACUUACCAACCCGAUGCAAACUGCGAAUACCGGAGAAUGUUAUCACGGGAGACACACGGCGGGUGCUAACGUCCGUCGUGAAGAGGGAAACAACCCAGACCGCCAGCUAAGGUCCCAAAGUCAUGGUUAAGUGGGAAACGAUGUGGGAAGGCCCAGACAGCCAGGAUGUUGGCUUAGAAGCAGCCAUCAUUUAAAGAAAGCGUAAUAGCUCACUGGUCGAGUCGGCCUGCGCGGAAGAUGUAACGGGGCUAAACCAUGCACCGAAGCUGCGGCAGCGACACUAUGUGUUGUUGGGUAGGGGAGCGUUCUGUAAGCCUGUGAAGGUGGCCUGUGAGGGUUGCUGGAGGUAUCAGAAGUGCGAAUGCUGACAUAAGUAACGAUAAAGCGGGUGAAAAGCCCGCUCGCCGGAAGACCAAGGGUUCCUGUCCAACGUUAAUCGGGGCAGGGUGAGUCGACCCCUAAGGCGAGGCCGAAAGGCGUAGUCGAUGGGAAACAGGUUAAUAUUCCUGUACUUGGUGUUACUGCGAAGGGGGGACGGAGAAGGCUAUGUUGGCCGGGCGACGGUUGUCCCGGUUUAAGCGUGUAGGCUGGUUUUCCAGGCAAAUCCGGAAAACCAAGGCUGAGGCGUGAUGACGAGGCACUACGGUGCUGAAGUGACAAAUGCCCUGCUUCCAGGAAAAGCCUCUAAGCAUCAGGUAACAUCAAAUCGUACCCCAAACCGACACAGGUGGUCAGGUAGAGAAUACCAAGGCGCUUGAGAGAACUCGGGUGAAGGAACUAGGCAAAAUGGUGCCGUAACUUCGGGAGAAGGCACGCUGAUAUGUAGGUGAAGCGACUUGCUCGUGGAGCUGAAAUCAGUCGAAGAUACCAGCUGGCUGCAACUGUUUAUUAAAAACACAGCACUGUGCAAACACGAAAGUGGACGUAUACGGUGUGACGCCUGCCCGGUGCCGGAAGGUUAAUUGAUGGGGUUAGCGGUAACGCGAAGCUCUUGAUCGAAGCCCCGGUAAACGGCGGCCGUAACUAUAACGGUCCUAAGGUAGCGAAAUUCCUUGUCGGGUAAGUUCCGACCUGCACGAAUGGCGUAAUGAUGGCCAGGCUGUCUCCACCCGAGACUCAGUGAAAUUGAACUCGCUGUGAAGAUGCAGUGUACCCGCGGCAAGACGGAAAGACCCCGUGAACCUUUACUAUAGCUUGACACUGAACAUUGAGCCUUGAUGUGUAGGAUAGGUGGGAGGCUUUGAAGUGUGGACGCCAGUCUGCAUGGAGCCGACCUUGAAAUACCACCCUUUAAUGUUUGAUGUUCUAACGUUGGCCCGUAAUCCGGGUUGCGGACAGUGUCUGGUGGGUAGUUUGACUGGGGCGGUCUCCUCCUAAAGAGUAACGGAGGAGCACGAAGGUUGGCUAAUCCUGGUCGGACAUCAGGAGGUUAGUGCAAUGGCAUAAGCCAGCUUGACUGCGAGCGUGACGGCGCGAGCAGGUGCGAAAGCAGGUCAUAGUGAUCCGGUGGUUCUGAAUGGAAGGGCCAUCGCUCAACGGAUAAAAGGUACUCCGGGGAUAACAGGCUGAUACCGCCCAAGAGUUCAUAUCGACGGCGGUGUUUGGCACCUCGAUGUCGGCUCAUCACAUCCUGGGGCUGAAGUAGGUCCCAAGGGUAUGGCUGUUCGCCAUUUAAAGUGGUACGCGAGCUGGGUUUAGAACGUCGUGAGACAGUUCGGUCCCUAUCUGCCGUGGGCGCUGGAGAACUGAGGGGGGCUGCUCCUAGUACGAGAGGACCGGAGUGGACGCAUCACUGGUGUUCGGGUUGUCAUGCCAAUGGCACUGCCCGGUAGCUAAAUGCGGAAGAGAUAAGUGCUGAAAGCAUCUAAGCACGAAACUUGCCCCGAGAUG